CCUACGGGUGGCAGCCGUGGGGAAUAUUGCACAAUGGGGGCAACCCUGAUGCAGCAACGCCGCGUGAAGGAAGACGGUUUUCGGAUUGUAAACUUCUGUUCUUAGUGAAGAAUAAUGACGGUAGCUAAGGAGCAAGCCACGGCUAACUACGUGCCAGCCGCCGCGGUAAUACGUAGGUGGCAAGCGUUGUUCGGAAUUACUGGGUGUAAAGGGAGCGAAGGCGGGGAGCCAAGUCAGCAGUGAAAACUCCGGGCUUAACCUGGAGACUGGAGUUGAAACUGGUUUUCGUGAGUGAAGGAGAGGCUGGCGGAAUUCCGAGUGUAGCGGUGAAAUGCGUAGAUAUUCGGAGGAACACCAGUGGCGAAGGCGGCCUACUGGGCUGCAACUGACGGUGAGGCGCGAAAGUGGGGGGAGCAAACAGGAUUAGAUACCCCAGUAGUC
rnacentral:rRNA from 1 species